UACGAAGGGGGCAAGCGUUGUUCGGAAUUACUGGGCGUAAAGGGCGCGCAGGCGGCCUGCCAAGUCAGAUGUGAAAGCCCCGGGCUCAACCUGGGAAUGGCAUUUGGGACUGGCGGGCUAGAGGUCGGGAGAGGAGAGUGGAAUUCCCAGUGUAGAGGUGAAAUUCGUAGAUAUUGGGAAGAACACCGGUGGCGAAGGCGGCUCUCUGGACCGAUACUGACGCUGAGGCGCGAAAGCGUGGGGAGCAAACAGG
rnacentral:rRNA from 1 species